rnacentral:rRNA from 1 species
AUUGAACGCUGGCGGCAGGCCUAACACAUGCAAAUCGAGCGGAGCGGCGGAUGGGUGCGUAAUGCCUAGGAAUCUGCCUGGUAGUGGGGGAUAACGUCCGGAAACGGGCGCUAAUACCGCAUACUAUCAGACGAGCCUAGGUCGGAUUAGCUAGUUGGUGGGGUAAAGGCCUACCAAGGCGACGAUCCGUAACUGGUCUGAGAGGAUGAUCCGGCACACUGGAACUGAGACACGGUGCAGGCGCGUCAGGGAGUGAGCAGGGGGGAAGAUUGGAGAAUGGGUGAAAGCCUGCUGCAGGCAUGCCGCGUGGGUGAAGAAGGUCUUCAGAUUGUAAAGCACUUUAAGUUUGUAGACGUUACCUAUAGAAGAAGCACCGGCUAACUGCGUGCCAGCAGCCGCGGUAAUUC